rnacentral:rRNA from 1 species
GACAGCAGUAGCCGCGGUAAUACGUAGGUGGCAAGCGUUGUCCGGAAUUAUUGGGCGUAAAGGGCUCGCAGGCGGUUUCUUAAGUCUGAUGUGAAAGCCCCCGGCUCAACCGGGGAGGGUCAUUGGAAACUGGGAAACUUGAGUGCAGAAGAGGAGAGUGGAAUUCCACGUGUAGCGGUGAAAUGCGUAGAGAUGUAGAGGAACACCAGUGGCGAAGGCGACUCUCUGGUCUGUAGCUGACGCUGAGGAGCGAAAGCGUGGGGAGCGAACAGGAUUAGAUACCCCUGUAGUCCCUGUCUCUUAUAA